CAACAAAAGGCAAAGAGCCGGGAGAACUUUUCUCCCCGGGAGGCCUCUCAUAUUCCAGGGCAGAGAAGGAAAGACUUGAACUCGUGGCAAAAUCCACACUGCACAGCUAUUUAUAAACCGCUCGGGAACAAUUAACAGAUUGGCUGGAACUACUCCUGGUUUUGUGUUCGAGGGCCUUGGAGGAGCUCAGAGCUGGCUCUCGAGGAGGCAGCCAGACAAAUCCUGCCGGAAGUCCUAGCCAGGUCUGGUCUCUUGCAGGAAAGAAGGGGAAAAGGGAAGAAGGAAGAAAAACAGGGUUUAACAUUCUUUGAAUGAAAUAGUCUGAAGGAUGCAUUCGGUGUGAAAUGCAUCUGGAAGCCCAUGCAAUCCCCAUUGUUUCCCACAAGAAACAAUGUGCAAGAAAGCUCGAUCCGGGAUGCAACCCUUUCCUCUAGACAUGUGCCUCCCCACAUCUUGCCCUCCUUCAAGGCUUUCAAGUGAUGCGCCGCUGGUUACUGUGAGCAAAACCUAGGAGACCUUCUGGGCUUCGCUGCUUGGGAACAAAGCACAGACCCUCCAAAAAUUCCUCUUUGCCAGUCGUGACCGACCUCAAAAAAGCCCCGGAUCCCGCCGUCUUGUACACUCUUGCGGUGCCUUUUGGUGAAGUCAGCCUUCAGGAAUGUGCUGGGGCCAGUUUUUAUGAAAAACCACCUACAAGAAAUCACCGAGAUCCUUGGUCAAGGAAAAGGGAAGGAAAAAGUACAGAGGGAGAAAUACUGGCCUGAGAAAUACUGGGGAAGAGGGCAGAGCAAACGCCUUCUCUGGCCAUUUCCAAUUUUGGUAUGGAAAAAAAAAUUCCGUUUACAAGCUGAGAAAGGGAAGAAGAAG